GACGAACGCUGGCGGCGUGCCUAAUACAUGCAAGUCGAACGCAGUGGGGACGGGUGAGUAACACGUGGCUAACCUCCCAUCAGAGGGGAUAACACUUGGCUAAAGGUGCUAAACCGAUACUGAUUGAUGGACCCGCGGUGCAUUAGCUAGUUGGUGAGGUAACGGCUCACCAAGGCCACGAUGCAUAGCCGACCGGAGAGGGUGACCAGCCACACUGGGACUGAGACACGGCCCAGACGCCUACGGGAGGCAGCAGUAGGGAAUCUUCGGCAAUGGACGAAAGUCUGACGGAGCAACGCCGCGUGAGUGAAGAAGGGUUUCGGAUCGUAAAACUCUGUUGGUAGAGAAGCGGUAUCUAACCAGAAAGCCACGGCUAACUACGUGCCAGCAGCCGCGGUAAUAC
rnacentral:rRNA from 1 species